rnacentral:rRNA from 1 species
UACGUAGGGUGCAAGCGUUAAUCGGAAUUACUGGUCGUAAAGCGUGCGCAGGCGGUUUUGUAAGUCUGACGUGAAAUCCCCGGGCUUAACCUGGGAAUUGCGUUGGAGACUGCAAGGCUAGAAUCUGGCAGAGGGGGGUAGAAUUCCACGUGUAGCAGUGAAAUGCGUAGAGAUGUGGAGGAACACCGAUGGCGAAGGCAGCCCCCUGGGUCAAGAUUGACGCUCAUGCACGAAAGCGUGGGGAGCAAACAGG